rnacentral:tRNA from 1 species
GGACAGGUGGCCGAGUGGCUUAAGGCGCACGCCUGGAAAGUGUGUAUACGUUAACCCGUAUCGGGGGUUCGAAUCCCCCCCUGUCCGCCA